rnacentral:lncRNA from 1 species
CUCGCUCUGGCUUUGAGAUACUAAUAAAAAUAUUAUUUGAGUUUAACAUGUCACUUGUGAUUUAUGUCUCCGCUACUAUGAAAAUAUCAAUAUAAGCUGGAUACAUGCUUAUUCAUAUAAGAUCGGUACAUGCAAGUCUAGUUUUCGACGAUAAGCACCUAUUCUUUUUCCCAUUCCUUCCUUUACAGUAAUUGCCCUACAUCACCCUCUUCCAUGUGCAAACUGUCCCUUCCUACCCUUGGAGAUAUAAGGAGGGUGUCAUCUUUUUUGCCACCACGAGUAAUGAACCCAACCUGAAAAAUAAAAAAGGCAGAAAAUGAUAUAUUUGUAAAGAAUAGAUAGGGUAAAAUCAGAACCUUGUGCAACAAUUUAUCUGGCACACAUAUAUAUCAGUGCCUUCUUUAAGUGAUGCAAAACAUACAACUUGACAUAACAGUAGUCAAACAUCUCUUAAAUCAUUAAAUUAACUGGAAAUGUGAGUGAUCGUUUCGAGUGCCACAAUGUAUGAUGUAGAAAUCAUUCUGUAACGGUUUGUCAAACCACAAACAAAAGGAACAAUAAUGUAAUCACCGAAUUAUAAGCAACAUAUCCUAGCAUUCUUAUUUUUUGUAAAUAAAUUCCUAGGGUAUUAAAUAAUUUUCAAAAAAUGGGGAAAAUAUUAGUAACUUGCAAGGAAGAAAAAAUAGAGGAUUGGAAACAAUAGUACACCUGGAUGUCACACUUUCAAGUAGCAAAUUCCGUCCGAAAUCAUCAACUGUCACUGCCACAGCAUGAUUCUCUACUUCAUUGCAGUGCAUCUAAAAAAGUCGCACACCGGGAAACAAAUAAAUAUCAAUAGGCAUAAAAUGUGCACUAUUGACAUGGUUUAUCCGAAUAGAUACAUGGCCGUUGUGCAAGAUCAGAUAAUUUCAAGAGGCAGAUUCAUCCCGGGUCUUCAUCGUUCAAUACAUGUCUUAUUGAUACAUCGGUCAAGGCGGUGACUUGUGGUGUGUCUUGUGCGUGUGGUGGGUGUAUACCUUAAUUGCGAUCGCAGAAAUUAUAAUAUAAUAUUAAGAGUACAUGUUCCAAAUUUCUUAAAAAUAUGUAAACAGAACUCAUGCCUGCAUGUUCAAUAAUUUCAGGUUUUCAGAUAUUGCCUGCAAACAACAAUCCGCAACAAAAAUCAUAGACCGAAGCAUUUAUACACAAUAGAACUGAUAGUAGGACAUCUACAAAAAUAGAAAAUGUAAGAACUAGGCUAUUGGCUCCUGGAGAAAGAAUUGGAUUGCAUAGUACUAUUCCAUACUAUUACUGAAGUAUCAAUGAAAUUAAAGAUAACAUGAAUUACCCAGAUCCUCUUGAUAUAUAGCUGAUGUGGGCAUUCCUUCAUGCAAAUUGUGAGUGAAUAUCACAUAUUAGAAGCCUUUCAAUCAACUCCUACUAGGAACCAAGAAAGAUGGAAAUCAUGGGCUAUACAACCAACAAUCCAACAGUAAGCUGGUAAAGAAGGAAAUAAAUAAUAAUCAUAACAAGUACGAAUACCUACCUUAAAAUUGAAACAAAAUUAUUGUAAAAGAACAUCUGAAAUGUAAUGACAACCUAAUGUGAUGAACAGUUUGUUAAUAUAGCAAUUACAUAUAGAAUACUGAUAUACAUGGCUAUACAACCUGCAGUCUGCUCUCUUUUUUCUGCGAAGAAUAAUGGGCUUAUAUUGUUUUUAGAAGACAGUAAGUUUCUGUAUUAAAUAGUCUAUAUGAUCAGCAAAGAAUAAAGCUUUAAAUUGUACUCGCCAAAAGGCGCAUUUACUCCUAUAUAACUAAGAUCUCUCAUCACUUCAGAAGAAAAAAAGCCGAAUUUGAAGAAGUUAGCCCAUACAGUGUACAACUCUAACCAUGGAUCAGUUGAAAUAGAUAACUAAAGCAUAUGAAUCGUGUUCCCAUCAUGGCUGUCUCAAGAGAAGCAUAGGAAUCGUGCAUCUCAUCGACCCUCGUCCUCUAGCAGCAGGUCUCUCCCACCCGUCCUCCUCCUCCUACAAAUCCUAUUAGCCCGGCAGCCACCAUAGGAACUGUGCAUCUCGUCAAUCCCGACGUCCACCACCAGCAGGUCGAGCACACCAUACUCCUCCUCCUCUUCCUAACUAAGCAGCAAAUUGAUGCAUUACCUUAGAGAACAGGGAAUAGCAACUCAUAUCAUGUUCUUGCAGGUAGAUAAAAUUCAGGUAACUGAAUGAUGAUAUUAUAGAACUAAAUUUUGUAAAGAGCAAGAAAACAACAGAGACAUGGGAGCAAUCACCAACAACUAGCCAAAAAAAGUGUAUCGCUUUGGUGCCGGAGUUGGCCAUGGAGAUGGUUCCCUUGCGCUGUGCUUCAGCACCUCGCGAACUUCCCUCCCCUGAUGGACACUCCGGCAUCCAAGGUUAAUUGGACACAUUCUUUGAGUGUGUCUGGUAGUAUACGGUGGCGUGCGUAGUGCGGAAUUCCUUCCCUUCUCAUCCUCUCGUUGUAACAGAGCCGAGCUACUGUGAUGCCGCCGGCUGGCCGUAUGCUGCUGCCUAUCUUGAGAUUCGUACGCAUGGCCGUCUUGAAGCUCCCACGCCACAAAACAAAUAUCAAUGCGGAGAGAGAGAGAGAGAGAGCAGGAUGAGAGAGAGAGAGAGAGAGAGAGAGAGAGAGAGAGCAGGAUGCUCACGCCGAUCUGCUACUGCCACCACCUUCAAAUCCGUUGCCGCUGAACACUUUGCCUCCGGCAUGGUAGGUCAUCUUGGUCCGCUGAGGAGGGGUACUACUCCCCUUCUUCGUCAUCCACUGCAGGAGGUUCCCUCUCAUCCUCCUUGUCCCCCCGAAUAUCUGGGCCCACCUCCUUCGGCCAAGCCUGCACCUUGACGCCCCUUGCCGUAGUUCGCCGAGC